rnacentral:rRNA from 1 species
UACGUAGGGUGCGAGCGUUGUCCGGAAUUAUUGGGCGUAAAGAGCUCGUAGGCGGUUUGUCACGUCUGCUGUGAAAUCCCGAGGCUCAACCUCGGGCCUGCAGUGGGUACGGGCAGACUGGAGUGCGGUAGGGGAGAAUGGAAUUCCUGGUGUAGCGGUGGAAUGCGCAGAUAUCAGGAGGAACACCGGUGGCGAAGGCGGGUCUCUGGGCCGAUACUGACGCUGAGGAGCGAAAGCGUGGGGAGCGAACAGG